AUGGAUCUAAAUAACUUCUGAAGGACUCCGAGCUGCACGAUGUUAGUCUGAGUGAGUAUAUGAGCAUGCCCACACGUAGAAAUAAGGUCCAGGUGUCAAAAACAGACACUCAAGUAUUUAGCAUUGAUUGCUUCUGUGAUUCAGUCUUUUUUGUUUUUAGGCAUCAGAUUGCAUGUUGGUGGAAGUACAUAUUUGAAUUUACCUUUCUUUUUCAGAAACGCGGUGACAUGAGCAGGUCCUGAAGCCGGAAUACGAACGUUCAUGGAUCUGGUGAUGGUGGUAUAAGCAGGGAUUUCCAGACUUCCCUGUCCCCACACACUUUGCCCAGCUCUUCAGAACGGAUCCUGACGCAUUCCCAGGCCAGCUAAGAGAGCAGCAGGUCUACACCCAACUCCUUCCUGGUAACUGAGCUCCUCACCCUGUCUUUAAGGAAUGGUAAAUGGGUAAGAAGAACACAGCAGAGUAGGUCCCAUUGAGAUGAUCCACCACUUGACCUGCCACACCUGCUUGAAGAGCCCGGUUGUGCAGCCGAGCCAGGAAGAAAUCUCCCCCAUGAUUCUUCGGAUGACCCUUAAAGUCAAACAUCUUGAUCAUGACCUCCAGCUGAUCCCCCACGAGCCACGAUCCACCUCCUGGCCUUGGGAGAAUGACAAAUUUGCUGCGGGCUGCAUUGCUGGUGCCUUCCAGGGAAACAGGAGCUGGCACAGAUGGAGUAUUUGGCCAAGCUAUGGAAUCUAAAAGGAUGUUUUCCUCAUGGAUCUCUUUGGGAGACAACCAUCGGAAGGUGCAGGAGUUCUGAUUUGAGCCUGGAUCACUGGAGACACUCAUGUUCUUGAAUGGAGGCUUCGGUGUUUUCUGAAACUGGCAGAACCAAAGUGGGUAUUCUCAGUUAAUUGAGGUUUUUCCCUUUCUGCUUGAUUUAUGCACAUUUUAUCCAAUGGUGUUGCUCUUAGAUUCAGUAAUAUCACAGUGCAACAUAUCAAACAGGAUCCUCAGUGCUUACUCAGUUCUCACCUCCAGAAAGUUGAUGUGAUAAAAUAUGUAGACAAACGAGCUCAAGAACAGAAGGAUGAUGCCAGACUUCAAAAAUCCUUUCCAAGCUGUGUCCAUGAUGGAUCGUAUUUUCCUAGUUCAUCUGAUGAAAAGAAAAGAACAAAUUUAAAGAAGACAAAACAUGGGUGUACAAGGUGAAAAUGAAAAGAAAAAAGUAAAAUAUAUUUCAGAAAAGAAAGGGAACAGCUUCAACUGAUUCCACAUGAUUUUCUUUUGAAAUACAGUGCAGACCAAUGUGUUUAGUACAGUUGAGGUAGGUCACUCACCUGUAACUACCUUUGUGGUUUCAUGCUCGUUUUUAAUUUGAAUGGAAAAAAAUCCAACUGAAAAACCUGUUCUCAUACAAAUGAGUUUCUCACUACUUCUGAUUACUUCAUUGAGUCAAGAUGUAGCAUGAUUUCACUCUUCUUCAUUUUUUGAUACUGCUAAAAUAAUUCACAAUAAUUCACUUAAAAAGAUGUGUUUUUUGAAGUGUCAGAUAACAAUUAACAAUCCUCGAAAAAGCAAAACAUACAACUUGAAUCAACAAAAUGAGAGUUCAUGCAUUCAUGGUUUUUUAUUAUUAAUAUUAGGUUGUUAAUAUUAGUUUUUUUAUUAUUAAUAUUAGGUUGUGUGUGUGUGUGUGUGUGUGUGUGCGCACGGAUGCUGCAAGGUUGAGUUUGGGUGUAUGUAUGUAUAUAUAUGUAUAGGUAUUUGUAUAUGUGUAUGUGUAUGUGUAUGUGUAUGUGUAUGUGUAUGGGCAUAUAUAUGUACAUAGGAAUGUACAUACACAUUCUUGUUUUUAUUUUUUUUUUAUCUUGUUUUUUGAUAGUUUCGUUGGCACUUAGUGUGGGGACUCAACGUGCAAUUUCGUUGUAGGGCUGCAACUAUUACUCGAGUCACUCGAGUACAAAAAAUGAUUGAGGCAAAUUUUAUACCUCGAGGCUUCGUUUAAUUAACAUCACGUGGCGAUGAGGUGUGCGCACACGUUUGUGUGUGAGGGAGAGAGAGAGAGAGAGAGAUGUGGUGUGUGUGUGUCACCCAGAUUGUUGUGACUGACAGACAUAUCCAAGCGAUGCCGGACCGGGUACUGACACCUGUCCCGUCACAAAUUUCUUUCUGCUGAGGUCCACGCGGAUCGAUCUGCGUGUGAACGCGUUGCGUGUACGUGCCGGUCGCGCCGGUAUACACUUGCGUCAGAGCGCCACAGCAAACAAACCGUGCAGUAAAGUGACUCCGAAGCCAUCAGGCUCUUGCUCCGUCGACAGAAACUUCCAGAGAAUGGAAAACUGGUGGACGGAGAGAGCAGCCUCUGUCGGGAGGGACGAGAAGGUCUGCUGAUAGAAAUGAAAGUGAAAGUGCAAUCGCUCGGGUGCUGCCCCACGAUUCAGAAACAGAAAAGGCUAAAUAAACUCUAAUACUAAAUGAUAAUAGACUAACAAUGUAUGAGCUUCAUUUUCUAUAAAUAUUCUGUAAUAAAAGAGCAGAUAAACAGUCUGGAGCAACAGAAAAGCUCCCCAAGGAUGCGUGGAUCAGUGUGCAUGCGUGGAAUGUGCACCACGUGACCCAAAAUGUAGAGUACUGGAGUACUGGAAAUAAUCAACAGAGUACUCGAUUCCAAAAAUACUCGAUAGUUGCAGCUCUAUUUCGUUGUACUCGUUACAAUGACAAUAAAGACAAUCUAUUCUAUUCUAUUCUAUUCUAUUCUAUUCUAUUCUAUUCUAUUCUCAGACCAAGCUGAUUUAAAGAGUUUCCAAUGAUCAGACAUGACUCUGUUUAGCUAAAUUUAACUCAGUUUAGCGUCAUUUAUCAUCUGAUUCAAUGCAGUCCCUGCCUUCUGUGCCCUAGCGCGUGGAGCUGGGACCACAACCCAGAAGUCCUGCCAGGCUUCGUUGGUGGGCUUUGUUGUUGAAUUCAACAUAAAACACUCUCUUUAAGGCCCUUCAAAGGCUUCCCUCCUGUUAACAAAACCUGCAGUCUGCCAGGCUCCAUGAAGACCUGCAGACCGUCCGUCAUCUGCCUCAGUCUGUCUGUCCUCUUAGCAUGAAAACAAGUUCCAGGAGUGAUUCUACAAGAGAAGCCUCAUCCCAAAAUGAGCAAACAAUGCACCCUGCAACCUCAUCACAUUUGAAUGCAACUCCACAGAAAAAACAAGCCCAAAUGUGUUGAGAAUAUCUUGACCUUGAAACAUCAUCCACACCUAAUGCUCAGUUACCUCGUUGUUCGGAUCAGUAAACAUAAAACACACCUAUACAGGUAGAUAAAAACUAAAGCCCCGCCAUCAUUAACAGCAUAUCUGGCAUUUAGAGAAGGAUAAUAAACAUCUCUGUGUUACAUACAAAUAUCAAUAGUAUGAGCAGUUUUUAACUUAAUAGAAACUCUAAACCACAAGAACACAAAAUACAUACAGUCCCAAUUAAAAUCAACAGUUCAUUUCAAGAUCUAUGAAGUGGGAAAAGAAUGCAGUGUGUGUUACCUUGGCUGAACGUAGUGGAAAACAAAACAAUGAAAUCCAAGGGUUUAUGGUGCUGAUUGAAUUUGAAGUUCAGGUGAAACAAGCCAGAUGUAGAAAUGGAGGCAGACACAGGAAGCAGGGCCGCAGGAGCCACCCUAUGUCAUUAAAGUCCUCCUCUUAGAGAUAAAGGAGAUGAUCAAGAACUCCCAGGCAUAUAAAUAUAAAAUACAAAAUACAGUUGUUGUAAAAGCUCAUGUUCAACAGUUUAAUUUGUCCCACAUAUCAACCUCUAUAUUUAUUCUCAUGUAUGAUAUGAUUGUUGUUGAUCAUAUUUUAAACGUUGAUUGCUACAUCAUGCUUCGGUCUUAUCUGAUCAUGUUCACAUGGGUUCAUGAUGAGAACAAACCUGAUAACAUCAGAUAUGUUACACUAAACACAGAGGUCAUCAAAGGUCAAAAAAGAGUAAGUGAAAGUAUAAAUUGAUUAAAUCUUUCUUCUGUGCAGUCAGCCUGUUUGCAUCCUGUGAUUUUUUUUCUCACCCAGAUAACUGAUAGAUUUACUCCAGCUGUGCAGGAGAGCCCUCUUGUGGCUGGUACCCUUUAAUGAAGAACUGACAAGGCAGGAGUUUAAUUUGUUUAUGAGCAGUUCUCCACAGUUGCCCUGUUGCUUGCUGCACAUUCAGAUAUGUUGCACUGUAGGGAUGUAGGGAGGCUGAUGCGACUGCAGUCACUGCACAUUUCUUGGCAAUUCUGAAUCCAGAGCUGAAGCUCCCGACAGCAUCACUCCAGUUCACAUUCACACAAUGUUCUCCACCACCUCAAGGUGGCAAUCCAUGGACAUCCGAAACC